UACGUAGGGUGCGAGCGUUGCCCGGAUUUAUUGGGCGUAAAGGGCGCGUAGGCGGCCACGUGCGUCCGUUGUGAAAUCGCCCGGCUCAACUGGGCGGGGUCAGCGGAUACGGCGUGGCUGGAGCAAGCUAGGGGGCAAUGGAAUUCCCGGUGUAGUGGUGGAAUGCGUAGAUAUCGGGAGGAACACCAGUGGCGAAGGCGGGUUGCUGGGCUGACACUGACGCUGAUUGUGCGAAAGCUAGGGGAGCGAACGGG
rnacentral:rRNA from 1 species